UUUAUUUUAUUUUUCAGCCUUUUGUACAUAAAAGGAGAAAUUAAAAGUAUCUUCAGGUUGAUGUCACAGUCACUAUUUUCAGUUUCUGUUCCCAGCACUUUUAAUUAAAGCACUUCACAAAAUAAGAAACAAGGACUAAGAUGCAGUGUAGGUUUCUGCUUUUCUAUUAGUACUGUAUGUAAACUUGCACACAUUUCAAUGUGAAAAACAAUUCUCAGACUGAGUCUAAUGUUUAUUUGCUUUCAAAUAGUAAUGCCUUAUCAUUGAAAGAGGCUUAAGGAAAGAUCAGUUGGUAUUCUUGGCAUUGCUUGAAUUGGAUGUUUCCACCUAGUCUUUUUAUUCAGUAACCAUCAGUCUUUUCCAAUGUUCGUUUACACAGAUAGAAAUCUCACUGCUCCAUAUGGCACUAGCACUGUAUCAGAUGUGAUAUGGGAUCCAAGCAUUUUUUUUUUCUUCACAAAACCAGGUAGUGAAAUUAUAUUACCAGUUACAGCAAAACAUUUUGUGUUUCACAAGCAACAUUAAACGUAGAUUCUUUAUACUAAAGCUAUUGACUUGUAGUGUGUUGGUGAAAUGCAUGCAGGAAAAUGCUAUUACCAUAAAGAACGGUAAACCACAUUACAAUCAAGCCAAAAGAAUAAAGGUUCUGCUUUUGUUUUUGUAUUAAUUGUUCUGUCUCUGUUUCUAUCUUUGAAAUGCCACUUAAAGGUAAAUUUCUAUCAUGUAAAAAUGAUCUAUCAGAAAAAAUAAUGUAAAGAAUACACAUUAAAUAUAAUAAUUCAUCUUUAAAUUUUUUCAUGGAAUGGAAAAUUAAGAAGAGUGUAUUGGAUAUCUAGUUUUAAUAUUGGCCAAAAAC
rnacentral:lncRNA from 1 species